rnacentral:miRNA from 1 species
GCAGAAUGAGGCUAGAGCUGAG